UAGACAGCAAAUUCACUAAUAUAUCAUCACCCGCAUACGACGCCGCCGCCUCUUGUGCCAUUGUAAAGCCCUAAUGGUUCCAUCCUCCGCCGUGGUCUCGCCGAAACCAUCGAUCCCCGAAGGAGAUGAUGAGGAUUACGAGAUCGUGUACGAGGAAAUCGAAGAGGAAAUAGAGAUUGAAGUCGAGGAAGAGGUAGAGGAAGAAGACGAUGUCGGAGCCGAUCAUGUCGAAAAUGGAGGGGAUGUUGAAAUUGGAGAGGAUCUAACUGCUUCGAGCCUAAAAAAUCUGGAAACUGAUACUGGUAAGAUUCUAGAGCUUGAUGAGCAGAAAGACCAUAGACAAUCAAGUUCCUUUACUGAAGAAUUUUUGGUUUCAAAAAUUGGAGAUGUGAAACCUUUUGAGUCACGUGAAAAAGAAGAAUUAUAUGGCAAUGGGGGAGAAAUCUCUAAAUACAAUCAGGAAAAGAUACCUUUGAAUGACAGUGGAGAAGUAAAUCAUGCCAAAACCUCUCCUUCCAUUGGAGAUGUUAAUGUCACAUCCACAAUGGAUAAUACUUCUGGGGAGAAUGAUAGUGCUAUUGCAUCAAUCAUGGAAAAAACCAACCAGUCUGCUUUAGAAGGUGUUGGCAACAUAUCACCCAGGUUGCAUGCUGCAAAAAUAAGGUUUAGGGAUCCUUCACCUAGUGCUGAAAUUGAUCGUGAGAGCAAAAAAAUAAGGAUGGUGUGUGAAUUUCAUGCCAAAGGAUGGUGCAUCAGAGGAAAGUCUUGUAGGUUCCUUCACACAAAGGACGCACCAGAUGCAGUGAUGAUAAAAAGCGAAGCCUUGGGGAGGGAAGCAGCAUCUUCUAGGGCAUUUAUUCCACCCCUACAAAGUGGGGACACAAAUUUAAGUAGUGAGACAGAAAAACUGGCUCUUCCUGAAGAUGGUAACUAUCCGGGUGCUCCUGCACGGGAAGAUAGGAGUGUCAGGCACAACUUAUAUCUGGAUAAUUUCCAGAACUAUGGCGGUCCUCCUGUCCAAGGAAUUUUAAAUGCUAGAGAUGGUCUGGAGCAUCAUGCUUACAUAUCCUCUUCCAUGCAACAAAGUAUUCCGCAAGCUUUUCGUUCUGAAUCAGAUUCUCUGUUGCGUGAUGGUAGCUUCAGGGAACCCAAGCCACCCAAGUUGGAAGCUACUUUCUCUUCUUUUGAUUGGCAGCUAUCUGCUCCUUUCUGCCCAUCUCAUGAGAUUACUCGAAGCAUAUUGCUGAAAGAAUGUGGCUAUAACAGCGCUGAUCAGAAAUAUGUUAUGGAUAUCCAGGCAAUAUUUUCACAUUCUGACCAGGGAUCAUCUGAUAAGAAUGUAGCUGUUCAGUCAAGCAGUCCUCAAGGGGAGGCAAAACUUUUGAAUGAUGUUCUUGCCGGUGAUAAUGGGAAGGAAAAUAUAUUGAGCUCUAGCAAUGAUGAUGAAGUGAAACUCAAUAAGACAGUGGAUGGAACAAUAUCUGAAGUUGGCGGAUCAGGCACAAAAUAUGAUAUUGAAGCUGACUUUAGGCAAGAUGAUCAUGUGCAAAGUGAUACGAAGGCUUUCAAAUAUUUCCAAUCUGCACUAAUAGAAUCUGUGAAAGAAUUAGUGAAACCAUCUUGGCGGGAAGGCUUUCUAAGCAAAGAUGCCCAUAAGUUGAUUGUUAAGAAGGCUGCCAACAAGGUUCUUAGUUCUUUGCCAGCCCACCAAAUUCCUAGCACAGAAGAAUCUGUCCAGUCAUAUCUUUCUUUAUCUCAGCCCAAACUUGCAAAGCUAGUUGAGGGAUACCUCAAUAUUUAUGGCAAAAUGUGAGACUGUUGAAUGAUUAUGCUUGUGCUGGACUCUCCGCAAAAGGAAAAUUUGAUCCCUUCAUGGUGGGCCCUUUAUGCUUCUUCCUUUUAUCAAAACAAAAAGCUUCAUCUUUAAGAUAUCUAAUUUAUUGGUGAAACUUCAGAAACCUUUAUCAGGUUCAAGAGAUAUCUAUAGUGGACUUUGUAGAGGGUCAUCAGGAUGCUACACCCCGUGCAUGUGCAAUCAAGAUAGGCAGAAACUCGUCCAGAUUUUCUCAUUAAAGACACUCAUGAAGGUGCAUGGCAAUCAAAUGUGAAGUCUAAAAAAUGCAUGCGCACCAGGUAGAGCGUCUGCAACCCUUCUUUGAGAAUCAGGUGCUUCUGUUGGCGUGGUUAGAAUGAAGCAAAGAAGUCUCUCAUGGGCCCUUCCAGUUUCAUUUAUAUCUGUUAAUGUCUUAUUGCCAUGGGAUCACUGAGUAGGAGUUAAUAGUAGAAAAAAAGGUUCCUUCUUGAGAAGGUUAUAUUCUGGAAAUUUGGUGAUCUUUUCUUAUCUGGAUAUGCUGCAACAAAUCAGCAGACAAGCCAUUAGCAAUUGCAAGCUCAGCUGAUAGAAGUGAUGAGCUGUGGAAAGUGAAGUCUGUUAUUGUAUACUUUCCUCACUGCAACUUGUGUUGUUUGAUGCUUUGGGUUGGUUGACUGGAACGACAAUCUCUGCAAGGGGUGGCAAAUGAUGAGAACAACUUUUGACUGAAACUUUUGUCUCCUGCUGAGUGCUUCUCCUUUGCUCUCCUUUUGGCUUGGGAAACUUGCUUCCUGCUGCUACUUUGGUGAUUUGGCUGCUUCACAUCCGACUCUCUCCUGUUCCGAGGAAUUUGUAGGAAACUUUCCAAAGGUGAACAGUUGUUUGGGCUCACAUUCAUCGAGCCAGCAUUGGAGCGGCUGAAUUCGAACUCCUGGUCUUCCUUGUUUUCUUUCGAGCUGAUGAGGCCUGCGAAGGAAAGUGACUCGCUCGAGGCGAAAUCUGCCGCAACAUCUGGGAACAUUUUCUUUGGCAUGGUGAACUACUGGACUUGUGUUGACAGAUAGUUGCUGAAAGAAAAGAAAAGUAUUGAAUGAAGUAUUUGUUGAUGCAUACGAGGUUGGAUGUGGGAGACUCCGAAACAAGCUUGAAACCGACUCCAAAUGUUGGUGCUACUGCUUAAACUCAUCUAGUGUCACUUUCAAAUGGAGUUCGUUAAGGUGAAUUUUCCAAUGUUAUCUGCAUCCUAGCCGGCCUUUGUGAAAUUUCUUGUUCAAACUUUAACUGUUGUUAUCAAAUUUUGCAAACCAAAUGUGCAGAAUGAUUUGGUUUUUGAAUAUGAUGAAUAAUGGUUCUUCAUUUCAA